rnacentral:lncRNA from 1 species
UUCAUUCAAGAUUUACUUUCUAUUUACUUACUUAUUAUCCAUUCUUACGUGGGAACCUCAUUACAAUGAAGGUUCGAGUGGCAGUGUAGAAUGAACAAGCAAAGACUUCUAUUUCAUUAAACGUAUCAGGUGGGCUUACUAACUCAAGAAGUAAAGAUGCAUACUUUAUUAUAUAAAGUUUGAGUGUAUGCAUUUAUUUUCCAAUUAUUGACUUGCCAAUGUUUGAGAUUUGUAUGAUACCAUCUACAUAGAAGAACGAAUUCGGGUCCUGAGCGAGUCAGGAUUUGUGUACACAGAGUUGACAGUUAACCUUUGUGUUAGCUUGUCAUCGUGUUUGAGCAGGAGGCCUACUUCUCAACACUUAAAGUUAUAUGAUGCGUAGAUAUGGUACAUACAUGUUAAUGUCUGCAGACGUAUAUGAUGUUAUGAUGAUUACAGAGAGGUUUUACAGUUUUGCAUGCACAGGUUAUUUAAAUAAAACUCCUGUGUGAUGCUUGAGAUGACAAGUUCAAUAUAUAGCUCUAAGAGCAAGCUUUAAAGUUAUUUCGGCAUGACCACUGAGUGCUUUUCGGUACUCAGCCCUGCGUAUGUUUCUAAAUAUGCAGGUUAAGCUGUGGUGCAGAUGGAAGCGAGCAGAGCAAAUUCUUUGAUGUAUAUGUAUUAAACCAGGCUCAGGAUUCCAUGUCUUCAUACAUGUAAUCCACAUGAAUUAUUCCGCUGCAACACUUAGUCUAUUCUACUUUAUUGAGGUGUUGUACAUAUUUUAAAACAAUAGCUUUGAGAAUUAUGUCACUUGAAAGUUAGACAACUUGUCGUUGUGUAUUGUAAGUUGUCUACUCAUGAGUUUUAAAAGUGAUUGCUUAUGAUUAUCCAAUAUUAAAGUAAUUCAUCGUUAAAGCGGGUUCAUUAUUAUU